rnacentral:rRNA from 1 species
GACGGACGCUGGCGGCGUGCUUAACACAUGCAAGUCGAACGAUGAGGCCGGAGCUUGCUCUGGUGAAUUAGUGGCGAACGGGUGAGUAACACGUGAGUAACCUGCCCUUGACUCUGGGAUAACUGCGGGAAACUGUAGCUAAUACCGGAUACGACCCUCGGAGGCAUCUCCUGGGGGUGGAAAGAAUUUCGGUCAAGGAUGGACUCGCGGCCUAUCAGCUAGUUGGUGAGGUAAAGGCUCACCAAGGCGACGACGGGUAGCCGGCCUGAGAGGGUGACCAGCCACACUGGGACUGAGACACGGCCCAGACUUCUACGGGAGGCAGCAGUGGGGAAUAUUGCACGAUGGGCGCAAGCCUGAUGCAGCAACGCCGCGUGAGGGAUGACGGCCUUCGGGUUGUAAACCUCUUUUAGUAGGGAAGAAGCGAAAGUGACGGUACCUGCAGAAAAAGCACCGGCUAACUACGUGCCAGCCGCCGCAGUAA